UACGUAGGGGGCAAGCGUUGUCCGGAAUCAUUGGGCGUAAAGCGCGCGUAGGCGGCCCGGUAAGUCCGCUGUGAAAGUCAAAGGCUCAACCUUUGAAUGUCAGCGGAUACUGCCGGGCUAGAGUCCGGAAGAGGCGAGUGGAACUCCUGGUGUAGCGGUGGAAUGCGCAGAUAUCAGGAAGAACACCAACGGCGAAGGCAGCUCGCUGGGACGGAACUGACGCUGAGGCGCGAAAGCUAGGGGAGCAAACGGG
rnacentral:rRNA from 1 species